AUUGAACGCUGGCGGCAUGCUUUACACAUGCAAGUCGAACGGUAACAGGGAGCUUGCUCCGCUGACGAGUGGCGAACGGGUGAGUAAUGCAUCGGAACGUACCGUGUAAUGGGGGAGUAACGUAGCGAAAGUUAACGCUAAUACCGCAUACGCCCUCGAGGGGGAAAGGUGGGGACCGGCGAAGGCCUCACGUUAUACGAGCGGCCGAUGUCGGAUUAGCUAGUUGGUGGGGUAAAGGCCGUACCAAGGCGACGAUCCGUAGCGGGUCGUGAGAGGAUGAUCCGCCACACUGGGACUGAGACACGGCCCAGACUCCUACGGGAGGCGAGCAGUGGGGAAUUUUGGACAAUGGGCGAAAGCCUGAUCCAGCCAUGCCGCGUGAGUGAAGAAGGCCU
rnacentral:rRNA from 1 species